AGUUUCUGUUCAGCCAAGAGUGGUGGCACACUUGGGUGGUAGUUUUGGAAGCAGUCAGUUGUGCUAGGACUUAUUUAAUAUGUUGUGAAGAGAAGAGUGUCUUCUUGAAAGCCUUAUGUGUCCAUCAGCUACUAAAUGUAGAACUUAAAUAAGUUGCUCACAUCUGUUCUUUUAGGUUUUUUGUGGUAUUUGAG
rnacentral:sRNA from 1 species